CAGAGGGUGCGAGCGUUAAUCGGAAUUACUGGGCGUAAAGCGUGCGUAGACGGUUACGUAAGUCGGGUGUGAAAGCCCCGGGCUCAACCUGGGAAUUGCAUUCGAGACUGCGUAGCUAGGGUGCGGAAGAGGGAAGCGGAAUUUCCGGUGUAGCGGUGAAAUGCGUAGAUAUCGGAAGGAACAUCAGUGGCGAAAGCGGCUUCCUGGUCCAGCACCGACGUUCAGGCACGAAAGCGUGGGGGAGCAAACAGGAUUAGAUACCCUGGUAGUCCACGCCAUAAACGAUGACAACUAGACGUUUGAGAGGGUAAGCCUCCCAGUGUCGAAGCUAAACGCGAUAAGUUGUCGCCUGGGGAUACGGCCGCAAGGUUG
rnacentral:rRNA from 1 species